UAAUAAUAUAAUUUAAACAAUUUAAAUAAUAAACAAUCUAGGUUAUUACUUAUUAAAUUUGAUAGUUUAAUUCCUUAAAACUUGAUACUUUAAAGGAAUUAAUUUUAUUUUCAAAUAAAUUAUUUACCUUUUGUAUCAGGAAGAUUCAAAUUUUAUUAAAUAUUUAGCCCCGAAUGAAAUAGAGCUAUAUAUAAAUAUUAUAAGGGUUACAAUCUUAUUAAUUAAUUUAUUUAUAGAAAAGAUAUUUUAUCAUUACUUUUAUAGCUGGUUGAAAUUAAAAUAAUUAAAUUAUUUAUAUAAGUUUUAUAAAGUUUAUUAAUUAAAUAAUUAAGAUAAACUUAAUUUUUACUAUGAAUAAAUUAGUCCAUUAAUAGGUAUAAAUACCUUGAUAUUAGUGAAUUAAAAUUCUUAAAUUUAUAUUUCAUCUAAAUAAAUAUAUAAACUUAAAAUUAAUCUAUUAGUACAAAAUUAAUCUAUUUUAUAACAAUAAUAUUUUUAUUAUUAAAACUAAAUAACAAGAACUAGACUCCUCUUAUUUUCGCCUGUUUAACAAAAACAACUCUUGGGUAUACUAAUCUAGGUAGAACCUGCUCACUGAAAUAUUUAAAAGCUGCAGUAUCUUGACUGUACUAAGGUAGCAUAAUAAUUAGUUAUUUAAUUAGUAACUUGUAUAAAUGGUCUGACGAAAAUUAAUUUUUCUUUAAUUUUAUUUAAAUUAAUUUAUAAAUAAAAAAGUUUAUAUAAAUUAGACUGACGACAAGACCCUAAAACUUUUAAGUAUAAUUUUAUAUUUUUACUGGGGCGGUAGAUUAUUUAAACAUAAUUUUUUAUAACAUAAUGAAUGAAACUUAACAACUUAUAAAUAUUCAAAAAGGUACUUUAGGGAUAACAGUAUAAUCUUUAUAGAGAGAAACUUAUCGACAUAAAGAAUUAUAACCUCGAUGUUGAAUUGAUAAAACCCUUUUAAGCAGUAAUAAAAGUAGUUAGUCUGUUCGACUAUUAAUUUAUCACAUGAUUUGAGUUCAAACCGGUGUGAGCCAGGUUGGAUUCUAUCUUCUAAUAAUUAUAUAUAUUUAUUUAGUACGUAAGGAUUCAUAAAUAUUAAUUUUUAAAUAAUUUUAUCCAUGAUUUAAUAAAAUUCUA
rnacentral:rRNA from 1 species